rnacentral:piRNA from 1 species
UGCAAGUGCUCCGAAAGAGUUCUGAAU